rnacentral:rRNA from 1 species
UACGAAGGGGGCUAGCGUUGCUCGGAAUCACUGGGCGUAAAGGGUGCGUAGGCGGGUCUUUAAGUCAGGGGUGAAAUCCUGGAGCUCAACUCCAGAACUGCCUUUGAUACUGAAGAUCUUGAGUUCGGGAGAGGUGAGUGGAACUGCGAGUGUAGAGGUGAAAAUUCGUAGAUAUUCGCAAGAACACCAGUGGCGAAGGCGGCUCACUGGCCCGAUACUGACGCUGAGGCGCGAAAGCGUGGGGAGCAACAGG